AGUCGAGCGAACGGACGAGAAGCUUGCUUCUCUGAUGUUAGCGGCGGACGGGUGAGUAACACGUGGAUAACCUACCUAUAAGACUGGGAUAACUUCGGGAAACCGGAGCUAAUACCGGAUAAUAUUUUGAACCGCAUGGUCCAAAAGUGAAAGACGGUCUUGCUGUCACUUAUAGAUGGAUCCGCGCUGCAUUAGCUAGUUGGUAAGGUAACGGCUUACCAAGGCAACGAUGCAUAGCCGACCUGAGAGGGUGAUCGGCCACACUGGAACUGAGACACGGUCCAGACUCCUACGGGAGGCAGCAGUAGGGAAUCUUCCGCAAUGGGCGAAAGCCUGACGGAGCAACGCCGCGUGAGUGAUGAAGGUCUUCGGAUCGUAAAACUCUGUUAUUAGGGAAGAACAUAUGUGUAAGUAACUGUGCACAUCUUGACGGUACCUAAUCAGAAAGCCACGGCUAACUACGUGCCAGCAGCCGCGGUAAUACGUAGGUGGCAAGCGUUAUCCGGAAUUAUUGGGCGUAAAGCGCGCGUAGGCGGUUUUUUAAGUCUGAUGUGAAAGCCCACGGCUCAACCGUGGAGGGUCAUUGGAAACUGGAAAACUUGAGUGCAGAAGAGGAAAGCGGAAUUCCAUGUGUAGCGGUGAAAUGCGCAGAGAUAUGGAGGAACACCAGUGGCGAAGGCGACUUUCUGGUCUGUAACUGACGCUGAUGUGCGAAAGCGUGGGGAUCAAACAGGA
rnacentral:rRNA from 1 species